rnacentral:lncRNA from 1 species
CUUUGGGUUUGUCAAAGACUAGGUUGCUAUAUUUGUUGACUGUUUUAUCCCUUGAACCCAAUCUAUUCCACUGAUCAACUAAUCUAUUCCUUAGCCAAUACCAAAUAGUUUUGGUAACUGCUGCUCUAUAAUAUAAUUUUAGAUCUGGUACAGCUAAGCCACCAUCAUUUGACUUUUUUUUCAUUAAUUCCCUUGAAAUUCUUGACCUUUUGUUUUUCCAUAUGAACUUUGUUGUUAUUUUUUUUAGGUCAUUAAAAUAGUUUUUUGGGAGUCUGAUUGGUAUAGCGCUAAAUAAAUAGAUUAGUUUAGGUAAAAUUGUCAUCUUUAUUAUAUUUGCUCGCCCUAUCCAAGAGCAUUUAAUAUUUUUCCAAUUGGUUAGAUCAGACUUAAUUUGUGUGAAAAGUGGGCAAAUUAUUUUCUAGAAUAACUGAAUUAAUCAAUCAGUAAACAUUUAUUAAGUGCUUACUAUAUGUCAGGCACUGUUCUAAACACUGAAGGUGCAAAAAGAGGCAAAGUAAUAUCAAUGCUCUCAAGGAGCUUACAAUAUAAUGAGGGAGGCAACAUACCUCCCAACUCCCAGCAACUCACAACAGAAUAUUAAUAUGCCUAUUUUCCUGGAGGCCUUUUAUGUCAUCUUUUGUCAUUUUGUUGAGUUUAAAGUGGAACCUCAGAGAUACCACUAUACACCUAUCAGAUUGGCUAAGAUGAUAGGAAAAGAUAAUGAUGGAUGUUGAAGGGGAUAUGGGAAAACUGGGACACUGAUGCAUUGUUGGUGGAGUUGUGAAUGAAUCCAACCAUUCUGGAGAGUAGUUUGGAACUAUGCUCAAAAAGUUAUCAAACUGUGGAUACCCUUUGAUUCAGCAGUGUUACUACUGAGGUUAUAUCCCAAAGAAAAAUUAAAAAAGGGAAAGGGACCUGUAUGUGCAAAAAUGUUUGUGGCAGCCCUUUUUGUAAUGGCUAGAAACUGGAAAUUGAAAGGAUGCCCACCAAUUGGAGAAUAGUUGAAUAAAUUGUGGUAUAUGAAUGUUAUGGAAUAUUAUUGUUCUAUAAGAAAUAACCAGCAGGAUGAAUACAGAGAGACUUGGAGAGAUUCACAUGAACUAAUGCUAACUGAAAUGAGAAGAAUCAGGAGAUCAUUAUACACUUCAACAACAAUACUAAAUGAUGAUCAAUUCUGAUGGACAUGACCCUCUUCAACAAUGAGAGGAUUCAAAUCAGUUCCAAUUGAUCUGUAAUGAACAGAACCUGCUACACUCAGAAAAAGAACAUUGGGAAAUGAGUAUGGACCACAAUAUAACAUUUCCACUCUUUCUGUUAUGGUGUGUUUGCAUUUUUGUUUUUUUUUCCUCAGGUUAUUUUUUUCUUUUUUCAAAAUCCGAACUUUCUUGUGCAACAAGAUAACUAUAUAAAUAUGUAUACAUAUAAUGUAUUUGAUAUAUACUUUAACAUAUGUAGCAUAUAUGGGAC